rnacentral:misc_RNA from 1 species
CAAUGAUGGGUUGCAAGAGGAAGAAAUGCUCUGCUUCAACUGUGGAAUGAAAAGAGCCUCUCUAUCUCUUUCUUUACCCAUCUCAGAUCUAAUCCUUCUCUGAUCCAAAUCCAGAUAAAACCCACUUGAAAAGGACCAAGUUUUGUUAUCUUGAAGAGGGUGUUUACCAUUAACAGCAACAAACCAGAGAAAUGGAUGCAUUAAGGAAACAAGCCAGCAAGCUAAGAGAACAAGUAGCUAAGCAACAACAAGUUCAGGCUGUUAUAAAACAGUUCAGUGGGACUGGUUAUGAAAGCUCAGAUGUUAUGGUUAUUGAUGAGGUUGAGAUGCAGAGGCAUCAACAGCUGGAGAAAUUGUACAGGUUGACUCGUGCAGGGAAGGAUUUUCAGAAGGAUAUUGUUAAAGCAGCAGAAACAUUUACAGCCAUUGGGUACAAACAUAUUGAAGCAGGAAUCAAAUUGUCUGAGGAUUGCUGCAGAUAUGGAACUGAGAAUGCUAAAGAUAAUGUGCUAGCUAAGGCAGUAGCCAUCUAUGGUGAUGCUCUUAAACAUGUGGAGAAAGAGCAAGAAGACUUGAAUCGAUUGUUAUCUUCACAGGUUGACUUUUUCUUACUGUGCAUAAAUGGAAUGAAUUUUGUAUCCUUUAGGUGACAACUUCUAGUCACUUUUAAUCAUUGUUUUUCCAGUGUUUAUGCUUUGGACAUACUUACUCAACUCAAUUGAGUCUGUGUCAAACUGAUCUGGCUUAGCGUUAUGAAUUGGUUUCCUUUGUUCAGCUUUUUUUGAAUGGGAAAAGAUGAUCUAAUGCCCCAAUUAGGUUCAUCUUCAAGCCUAGAUAAUAGCUUUGAUCUUUAGUUCUACAUUUGUUUGAGCUUUUUGUUGUUUUAUAGAAACUACUUGCCAUAACAUUUGUUUGAACUUCAAUCAAAGAUGAACCACAAAUUCUUUUUAAUUGUUUUCAUCCAGAUUUUAGAUCCGCUACGAGCAAUGAUUACUGGUGCUCCUCUGGAAGAUGCACGCCAUCUAGCUCAACGUUAUAGUCGGAUGAGACAGGAAGCAGAGACACAGGUAAUUAGAAAAGUUGGCGCUAUGUCAUAAAAUCCAUGUGCUUGGACAUUCACUUUAUGCUCCAUAGCUUUAGCAUCUGCCUAAAUAAACUCAUAACUUGUAUGGACUAUUAAAAGCAAACAGGCAGCAGAGGUUUCCAGAAGACAAGCAAGAGUAAAGGAAAUGCCAAUUCCUGAAAAUGUUGCAAAGCUGCAUGCAGCAGAAGCAAAGAUGCAAGAACUAAAAGCAAACAUGGCUGUUCUUGGUAAAGAAGCUGCAGCUGCUUUGGCUGCUGUUGAAGCACAGCAGCAAAGAUUGACUUUCCAGAGGCUUGUUGCAAUGGUUGAAGGAGAAAAGAAUUACCAUCUGAGAAUUGCUGCCAUUCUCAGUGAGGUUGAAGCUGAGAUGGUCUCAGAGAAACAGCGGAAAGAGUCUGCUCCUCCAGUGAUUUCAUCUCCUGUAAUUCCAUCAGAGAAUGUAUCAGAGAAAACCAUGUACUUCUUGGCUGAAGUAAGUUUCCAACACCUAAAUUUCAACUUUGAAGGAUGGAUUUGCAAUUCUCUUCAAAGGAAAUUAGUUAUUCUGCAACUUCUAUAUUGAAAAUACAUGUAGCUUACAUAAGCUAUUAGAUGAUGCUUCAAUCAAAUGGCGUCAAGGGGCUUGGGGUUGAGCUUUUGGAGUUUUAACUUGAAAUCCUGGACUUUAUGAGCUGUUCACCUAAUAUGAAAGUCCCUGUGAAUAGCAAAUAAUGACGUCACUGGGGUUAUUAUUAUUGACUGUCUUAUCCCAUUUCUGAUGACCCUCCAUGUUCAUUGAACUGGUUAUGAUACAGACAUUGACAGGAUAGGUUGGACCUUUCUAUGAUUUCAGCUUUUGCAAUGGGAUGAAUGAAAUGGAUGCUGUCCUUAGGGGCCCAGUACUGCUAGUUAGGUUCUUAUGAGAUUAGCACAGACUGGAAAUAACAGUAGCAUGAAGUCAUAAUUUGUGAAUAGUAGGAUGGCCGAUUAUCACUUUGUAAUUUACACAGCAUAAUUUAGACACAAACAUAAAUUGUAAUGAUCUUGUUUACCUCUUUCAGGCAACACAUCCUUUCAUUGCAGAAACGGAGAAGGAGCUGAGCUUGGAAGUGGGUGAUUAUGUUGUCGUGCGAAAGGUAUUCUCUUUCACUUGAGAUGCAAAAUUUCAUAGAGACUGAAUUUUCUUAACAAAUAGGUGGAUUUGAAGUUGAUAUCUGCUCUUGAAAUUUGGAUAGAAGAAAGGCACACCGAGAUAGCUGAGAUAGUGCUAUAUAAUCAUUCUCCAAGAGUCAAGCCUCCCUUCCAGUAGUGGUUUGGCUUAGAGUCAUUGAAAUAUCCAUGACAUGCUUUUGUUGAAGGGAGACAUUUUCCCUGGCUGGAUUGUCAUCCACACUUUUCUGGGCUUCCCUCACUUUCUUGCUUACCUUGUACUCGAGUCUGUAAAAAAGUAAGAGUCACUACCCCUUUGUCUGGAAAAAAGUAAGAGUGGAAAGAAAUUGAAGGAUUAAAAAAAUGGAGGCCUACAAAGUGAAGGGAGAGAAUAAGUUUUUCCCUUGUUUUGGGAAGUGAGGAAGAGGGGAUAUGUUGUUGGGGGGAGUGGGGGUGUUGUGGGGUGGUGCGUUGUGAAUGGGAAAUUAUCAUGCAGGAUAGGACAACAAAUAAUUGAAAUCAAGUUUUACCGUCAUUUUAGUUGCUUGUGGCAUGUUUCUGAGACUUCAUGUGUAAUUCCAGGUGAGCCCAACCGGAUGGUCAGAAGGAGAAU